CUCCAUUAAUAUUUGUCACCUCAAAAUAGUGUUUGCUUCAUAUAAUAUGAUAAUUUUUAUUGGUGUUUGCAUUGUAUAUAUUAUCAUUUUAAUUUCGAGAUGUUUUGUUUCCUAUUUUUGAAUUGUGUAUCUUAUAUAGAAAGCAUAUAGUUUAUGUUCUAAUUUUUAAAAGUGCACUUACAAUUUAUUGGCAGAUGCAUAUAUGUGUGUAAGUAUGUGUGUGUGUGUGUGUGUAUAAUUUGUUGAGUUUUGACAUAUGUAUGUAUGUAUAUGUGUGUAAGUGUAUGUGUGUGUAUAUAUAUAUUUUUUUGUUGAAUUUUGACACAUGUAUAUAUCCAUGAAAGUAAAACCAAAAUCAAGAAAAUUUACAUGACAUCCCCUCAAAUUUUCUUGUGCCCUGUUGAAUUUCCUUCUUUCUCUCUGUCAUAUACAAUGUUAUUAAUGUGCAUUCUGUCACUGUAGUUUCUAGAAUUUCCAUACAGAUUUAUUCCCUAUAAUUUUAUGCACAAAUUUAAUCAGGAAGGCAGUACUUUGUUUUCAUCUGGCUUUUUUCACUCAGCAUAUUAUUUUGAGAUUCACCCAUAUUGUUUUGUGUAUAAAUACAUUGUUUUUCAUUUUUGUUGCUGAGUAGUAUUCCAAUAUAUGGGUAUACCAUGACUUGUUUAUUCAUCCACCUGUUGAUUGAUAUUUGACUUGUUUCCAGUUUGGAAAUAUUAUUUUAAAAAAUGCUGCUAUGAACAUUUGUGUACAAAUCUUUAUGUGAAUAUAUACUUGCAUUUAUCUUGUGUAGAAACUUAGUAAUUGAAUAACUAACUGGGUCAAAUGGUACUUUAUUUUUGUCUUUUUAAUAAAUUCCUAAAGUGUUUCCAAAUUUAUUUUCUUUGUACAUUUCUCUCAACAGGGUAUGAGAGUCAUUUGUGGCAUAACUUCAACAGACAUGACAGGGCUGACUUUGAGUUGAAUUAUAAAAUUUCCAAAUGAGGAUGUCCAGGAACCAGAUAGACACGUGAGUUAGAAGCUCAGAAAGCAGGUAAGGCUGGACAUAUGGAUUUCAGAAUUGUAGCCUUUAAAAUGAAUGGUAUCUCCUGGGAUGUAGUAUGGGAAAAGAAGAGGCUAAGGACAAACCUCUGGGUGGCUAGAACAGUGUCUGGUACAUGGUAGAUCAUGAAUAAUUUUUUGUCAAAUGAUGAUGUAGAUAAAUAUGAAUCUAAAUCUAUUUUAUCUUGAAUGCUAGCUUUCUUUUUUUAGUAACCUCAUCCUCUCUCUUUUUAAAUUUAAAUUUAUUUUAUAUUUUAGAGACAAAGUCUUGUCCUGUCACCCAGACUGGAGUGCAGUGGCAAGCUGAUAACUAACUGCAGCCUCAAACUCCUUGGUUCAAGCAAUCCUCCCACCUCAGCCUCUUGAGUAGUUGAGACUACAAGCAUAAGCCACUGUGCCUGGCUAUUUUUUAUUUUUUUGUGGAGAUAGAGUUUCUGUAUGUUGCUGAGGUUGGUGUCAAACUCCUGGCCUCACACUAUCCUCAUGCCUCAGGCUCCCAAAGGGCUGAGAUUACAAGUGUGCCACAUGCUAGGAUUACAAACCACUAUGCCAGGCCUCCAUUCUGCUCCUGAACUGCACAUCAUUGCAAUACUGCUUUCAGCUGGGGUUGGAGUAAGAAAAAAGAAAUAAAAAACACAGAGAAAGACAAGAAGGAUCUAGCUGUGUUCAAUGCUGCUAAAAAUCAAGUAAGAUGGCAAGAAAAAUAUUUCUACUGGGUUUGCCAACAGGGAGGUCAUUGAAGACCUUAGCAAACAUGCUUUUGGGGGAACAAUAGAGGUAAGAGCUCACUGGAGCUGGUUGAAAGUAAUGCAAAGUACAGAAAUGUAGAUUAUAUAUCCAUUCUUUAUCAAGAAGCUUAGCUGUGAAAUAAAUCUUAGAAUUAUUAAGGCGUUAUUAUGGGUGUGGGUAAUAGAGACUGAUUUAUUCUCUAGGCCU
rnacentral:lncRNA from 1 species